AUGAAUGGUCAUGAGUUCUGAGCCAGCAGAUGGAAGACCCAAAGAGGGGCUGUUGGCUGUCUGCAUUGCUGAUCCUCUUAUCUGGCCCAGCAUCUCCAGGGAGCUCCCUCUCGUCUGAUCUCUGUUGCCAGUAACCCUGCGCUCGUAGGAUGUCUGAUCUGGGAUUGGCCUGUGACCUGCGGAUGGUUGUGGAGCAAACCUGGCCGCCCCUGGCUCAGCCAGACACCCUCCAUGAGGCCCUUGCAGCCUUAUGAGCUGGUGUGUGACUGGCAAGGUGACUAGAGCAGGCCCUGGGAGGUCAGCCGCUGGCAAGAACCCUGCAACCCCGCAUGUGAGAAGGAUCCAGACACUCUCGUCUCCCAGACAGGGAAGCAGAAUCAGGACCCCCUGGGACCUUCACCUCUGCAGAGCCUGACCUCAGAGAGCCAGGUAAGAGGGUCACCUCCCCAGGGGACAGAAGUUACAGUAGUGGCCGGCUGAGCUGAGCUGAGUAGAAGGGGACAGUCCACUGCGCCGUCUGAGCGUAGGGCCCCGAUGGCUGCAGGGAGGCCCCGACUGUCUUCGUCUGUCCCACAAGAGGCGGCAGACUCUGCAGCAUCCUUCGUGC
rnacentral:lncRNA from 1 species